CCCUACGGGAGGCAGCAGUGGGGAAUAUUGCACAAUGGGGGAAACCCUGAUGCAGCGACGCCGCGUGAGUGAAGAAGCGUUUCGGCGCGUAAAGCUCUGUCAGCGGGGAAGAAACACGGUUCGCGAGAGCCGCGGACGGUACCCGACCAAGGAGCCCCGGCUAACUACGUGCCAGCAGCCGCGGUAAUACGUAGGGGGCAAGCGUUAUCCGGAUUUACUGGGUGUAAAGGGGGCGCAGACGGCGAUGCAAGCCAGGAGUGAAAGCCCGGGGCCCAACCCCGGGACUGCUCUUGGAACUGCGUGGG
rnacentral:rRNA from 1 species